UGCUUGCUAGGAUGAAAUCACAAGGACGGUAUCUGAGAAAGGUAGCUCUUGAAAAAGUGCAGCCUCUUUGAUUAUUCAUCCAAAACUGAUCAAAUAUUCUGAGCAAUCA
rfam:Brachypodium distachyon strain Bd21 chromosome 3, whole genome shotgun sequence.